UUUUAUAAAACUACUGAAGUCACUGUGCUUUUUUCAUUCAUUUUGGUGUUCUCUUUAAGCCUGUGAAAUCUGUUAUCGAAUAGCACUGUCAUCAAGUAUUUUUCUGCCUUGCCCUUCCUUUUGUUAUUUCUUUCGUUUUAUGUCUGGCCUAUUUUAUUUUGCAAAUAGAAAUGUUGUAUCCAUGUUCUCGUUUAGUAAACAAAUGAUGACUUGUUCUGAUCUUCACUUCUACUUGGGCAUCCAGCACAGCAUUUAAUGGAUUUGCACAGGUUAGAAACAAGCAAAUUUUGAGAAUUUUUUUCUGUUUUGUUGGGAAGAGAUUAAGACUGGUUGCACAGUUUUGAAAACUCUGCUCUGCAGACCAGCUACACAGUAAUGUCCUGCUGACACGAAUCCUGAACUUGUCUGCCCUCAGAAAGUCUUCCUGGAUGUUUCUAGAAGGUUGCUAAUAUUCUUGGCACUCUUGGCCUAGCUGAAUUUUAUUGGAAAACUCCCACUAGCUUAGCAGGACUGUCUUCUUAUUUUCCAUGUGAAAGAACUGGAUUAGUAUUUUUCUUGCUCUCUUUUUUGGAUUUUUCUAACAAUCUCAAAAGCCUGUGAAGCAUGGCUUCUUCACAGCUUUCACACCUGUUCAGUGGCUCUAUGUAUUUAUGCAUUUAUACAUGAAAUGAGCUUUAUUUGUUUCUGCAAUGUUGUUUUCACCUAACAUAUGUUUUAGUCCGGGAGUUAAAUCUGAGUUGUUUAUUUACUGCUGUGAUAAUGCUGAGGAUCUGCAUGAGGCACUGCAGCAGUGCAGUGCACGCUUACGCUCUCAAACCUCAGGGCCCCCAUCCCAAGUGAUAAUGCAGAUAAUCUGGGGCCUUCUUAAAUUCCAGCACCAUUCAGAGGCUGGCUUACCCACAGCAUGCUCUGCACACCACUGUUUAGAUAUGCACACAAAAAAGCUGGGCAUCUGCAAGGCUGAAAACGAGUCUUUCAGUGCUUAUUAAUUUUGCUCCAGGCCUUUUACAUUAGUAAAGUAUUCAGAAGGAAGGGCUAAAAUACAAAGCUGCCACCACUUUCUCUAAUUAAUGCAUGCGAAGCUUCACAUCUCUAAUUACUGAGCAGUGUGUGCUGUGCAAAUAAAAGCCCAGAGUCCAGAGGAUGUGUAAGGAACUCUGAGCUCUGCACUCCCUGUGCAGUGCAGUCUGGCAAAAUAAACUUCUGGCAUUCGCUGUUCAGAAGUGCAGUGUGCCUGAAGCAAAGUCCUUGCAAUUCACUUCUAUUCAGCGAAGGAUUCCUCACCUGUUUGAACAACUUGAAACAUUUUAGAGUUGUGGAACACUUUUGAAAAAGGAAGGUCUUUAAUAUUGAUAUUCAUGCCUAUUUAGAUUAUCGAUUUUCCAUCCAAGCUCAGCUACUGAUGGUUAUGCCUGAGUAAGCCAUAAAAAUCAGGUCUUUACUGGAUACAUCCCAUGCCAAAUAUUGUUGCUGUGUUGUUUUUAUUUUCUACAGGUAGGAUGCCGCUGCAUUUACAGUGCAAUCAAAUGAGAAUGUGACAGAGACUCUUUUCAUAAUCAGCCUGAAGUGCAUUGCCAAACACUUCAUUCCAAGAGCUCAUCUUAAUUGCUGCAUGGAAUCUUACUGCAUGUCCUUGUUGUGAUCCAUCGGUGCCACAGAACAAAUAAAUUUCUGUUAGGUGCUGGCAACCAUUGAUUCUUAUUUUGGUUUCAGGGAACAAAAUUUUUCACAGUUAGAGGGACAGAAUCACCACGUGGUGCAGAAGAGCUGAAGCAAAUGGUACAACUCGUGGCACCCAAACUGCAGACUGUAUGAUCUGGGAGAGCAGUGCAAAGAAGAGUGGUCAGCUGUGUCUGAAAGCUGAGCGUGGAGCCAAGUACAGGUACAGCACUGGAGUAUGAGGCCAUUUAAAGGCACCCACUGCAUGUACAGCUGAGUAUGGACCUGGAGGAAAGUGAUUCUGCACAAACUGAUGAGCUUUGUGACCCACCUCUUUGAACAAUCCCCUGCCGUGUGUUUCAGCCCAAUGUGUGUGGAAGAAGUGUUCCAGAAAGUUUUCCUGCAAACUGGAGAAUAUCGAGGCAGAGAUAAGGAGACAACUGGAAUUGCUGCGAAAGAGAGCGAGAAUUGAAACUGUAGUGUUUUUGAGUGUGCAUGGAGAGCAGCAGAGGAAGAAGAGCUACCUAUUAAAUGCAGGAAGAGAGGAAAAGGUUAGCAGCAUCCCUUCAGUAGUAAUGGAGCCAGCAUCAAACAAUGAAGGGGAAGGAGAAGAACAUGAUGUCAUCAUUAACGAGUCCAAAGAUGCUGCAGCAGAGAUGGGCACUCAGGCACUGACAGUGAAACUUGCCAAGCUGGAAGUGAGCAGAAACCAACUGAAGAAAUCCAGACUGCACCUUCUCAAGAUCAGCCUGCAUCAGCAGGAGGCACAGCUUCUGACAUGCCACUGGGCUUUCUCUUUAAGGUUGAAGCUCUGCAUGAUUUUGAGGCAGCUAACAGUGAUGAGCUUAAUUUAAAACAAGGGGAUAUUGCACUAGUAAUUCCUUCUGAGACCACAGCUGAUCAGAUAAUUUGUUGAUUUACAGAGAGUAUUUGAUCUUGGUUCUUUUUUCUCCUGCAAAACUGAUCUAAAACCAUCAUUCUGAGAUAGCUAGUGCUGUCAGCCUGUGCUCCCUGUGCAAAGCCAACUCAUCCCAGCCAGUGACUCCAACUUUUAUCCAUAAUUGUUGAGUUGAAGUCAUCAUCCAUUACAACUUCAGUCCUGAGCAGAAUCUACUCUGUCCAUGGUAGAAAACUUCAGUUCCCCCACCUCAGGUUUUCCAAAAGGAACAAAGCACAGAGUUAGCCAUGUGGUGAGAUGAAAAUAGGCUGAUCACUGCAAAAAUACUGCACGGGUUUUAUUCCAGGUGAAAUGGAUAGCACUUAGGAGAACCCAGCACUUUCCAACAGGAAAUCUUCCUUUUGAUUCAUGGAUUUGGAUUGCAGUAUUGCAUGUCAAGAUCUGGCUUAGGCUGAAGCUUCCAGGAAUUUUUGGAAAAGGUUGUUGAGUAUCAACUGACUUUUAGUUUCUAGCAAUUAUGAUGGCAGAGAAAACAAGAACUGUUAUUUCUUCUGUCA